CUCAGGAUGAACGCUGGCGGCGUGCCUAAUACAUGCAAGUCGAACGAGUUCUCGUUGAUGAUCGGUGCUUGCACCGAGAUUCAACAUGGAACGAGUGGCGGACGGGUGAGUAACACGUGGGUAACCUGCCCUUAAGUGGGGGAUAACAUUUGGAAACAGAUGCUAAUACCGCAUAGAUCCAAGAACCGCAUGGUUCUUGGCUGAAAGAUGGCGUAAGCUAUCGCUUUUGGAUGGACCCGCGGCGUAUUAGCUAGUUGGUGAGGUAAUGGCUCACCAAGGCGAUGAUACGUAGCCGAACUGAGAGGUUGAUCGGCCACAUUGGGACUGAGACACGGCCCAAACUCCUACGGGAGGCAGCAGUAGGGAAUCUUCCACAAUGGACGCAAGUCUGAUGGAGCAACGCCGCGUGAGUGAAGAAGGCUUUCGGGUCGUAAAACUCUGUUGUUGGAGAAGAAUGGUCGGCAGAGUAACUGUUGUCGGCGUGACGGUAUCCAACCAGAAAGCCACGGCUAACUACGUGCCAGCAGCCGCGGUAAUACGUAGGUGGCAAGCGUUAUCCGGAUUUAUUGGGCGUAAAGCGAGCGCAGGCGGUUUUUUAAGUCUGAUGUGAAAGCCCUCGGCUUAACCGAGGAAGCGCAUCGGAAACUGGGAAACUUGAGUGCAGAAGAGGACAGUGGAACUCCAUGUGUAGCGGUGAAAUGCGUAGAUAUAUGGAAGAACACCAGUGGCGAAGGCGGCUGUCUGGUCUGUAACUGACGCUGAGGCUCGAAAGCAUGGGUAGCGAACAGGAUUAGAUA
rnacentral:rRNA from 1 species